rnacentral:lncRNA from 1 species
UAUAUUUAAAUAAUACUCCCGCAGUUCCAUAUUAGUUUAUCAUCUUACUAAAAAUAGUUGUUCCAUAUUAGUUGUCCAUUUACUAAAUCAAGAAAGAAUUAAUUAAAUUUUUUGUAUACUACCUUUGCAAAUAAUUCUAUUUGAAUGUGUUCACAUUUAUUUGUAAAAUUUCCAAGAAAUUUUUUAAGGGGUGAAUUAAUAACCUUAUCUUAUUUUUAUGAAUUUCUUACCAUGCAUGUUAAAAAGGAAAAUGAUUAACUAAUAUGGGAUGGGGGAG